AUGUUUAAAGCUUUCCACCAAGGAACGCUGGAUGUUCAAAGGUUGAAUUAUGGAGUGAUCACCCUACUCCCUAAAGUCUCUGGGGCUGAGAAGAUUCAGCAGUAUAGGCCUAUAUGCUUAUUGAGAUGCCCAUACAAGUUAAUCACGAAAGUCCUCGACCGAAGAGUUGCUGUAUAUGCAAACAAACUCAUUAGCCCUACUCAAAACACCUUUGUAAAGGGGAGAAACAUCAUGGAUGGAGUCCCGUCCCUUCAUGAGCUUCUUAAUUACACAUACGUUAAGAAGAGAGUGGGGAUUGUCCUUAAAUUGGACAUUGAAAAAGCUUAUGACAAGGUGAAUUGGGACUUUCUCCUGGAGUGUCACAAGAUGCGAGGCUUUGAUGAUACAUGGUGCAGAUGGAUUGAGCAGAUCCUGCAUAAUGGGACAGUCAGCAUUAAGCUUAACGGUAGUGUUGGGCCGUAUUUUCAAAGCAAAAAGGGUGUGAGGCAGGGGGCCCGCACUCUCCUUUUUUGUUCAAUCUAG
rnacentral:rRNA from 1 species